GCAUCUGAAGUCUGACGAGGAUGAGAACCUCCGGGGGCAAGAGGUUCGACCCGAGCGAAGCGAGAGAACGUUGCGUCAGCAACGGCCCGCAGUGGCAAGUCAUCCUCUGUCACCGGCCG
rnacentral:sRNA from 1 species